UGGGGAAUAUUGGACAAUGGGCGAAAGCCUGAUCCAGCCAUGCCGCGUGUGUGAAGAAGGUCUUCGGAUUGUAAAGCACUUUAAGUUGGGAGGAAGGGCGUUAACCUAAUACGUUAGUGUUUUGACGUUACCGACAGAAUAAGCACCGGCUAACUCUGUGCCAGCAGCCGCGGUAAUACAGAGGGUGCAAGCGUUAAUCGGAAUUACUGGGCGUAAAGCGCGCGUAGGUGGUUUGUUAAGUUGGAUGUGAAAUCCCCGGGCUCAACCUGGGAACUGCAUUCAAAACUGACUGACUAGAGUAUGGUAGAGGGUGGUGGAAUUUCCUGUGUAGCGGUGAAAUGCGUAGAUAUAGGAAGGAACACCAGUGGCGAAGGCGACCACCUGGACUAAUACUGACACUGAGGUGCGAAAGCGUGGGGAGCAAACA
rnacentral:rRNA from 1 species